rnacentral:lncRNA from 1 species
UUUUUUUUUUCUUUUAUGAAUUCCUGUUUACCUGUCCAUGAAGUUCUAAUUGUGGUGCCUUUCCUAUAAUAAGUUCCCUGGGGCCCUGCCUUGUCAGAAUGCUUUCUGAUGAGAUCUGAGCUCUUAUCUUUAGUCAGAGAUCAGUACCACAAUCAACUGUUACCUUAAAAAGUUUUUGUCUUACUCUGAUGCUCUUACUGGAUAUGACAUAAUGUCAGAUUCUAUUUCUCUCUCCAACCCUUACACUUCAAAAUCUCUUAUUGCUGAGCCUCAAUUCCAAAUAGGGAGUGACUCAGCUCUUUCCAAUUUAUUCUUUCAAUGGCUUAUCCAUUUAUCCAUCAUCUCCUACCCUAUUUUUCCUAAAUUAAAAUGUCUCUGGAAUUCUUCUUAUGUCUUCCAUAGUUUCCUCUUGCCCUGAUCUGGAAUAUAGGUUUUCUUGUUUCUCUAAGAAUCUAACUCAUUUGUUUUCCAGCUUUUAGAAAUUCCUCCACAUUUGUUUAUCAGUGGCACCUUUUUUAUUUCCUAGAGUCACUUAAGGAUUUACUCCUCUAUCAAAUAUAAUACAAACUGUUUCAUGCCUGCAAAACAGUAGAGAUUCUAAUAUAAUGAACACCCAGUAGCAUUGAAGUAAGUGUUCCUUGUGUAUUCCUCCACUGGAAAUGUUUAGAGGGAUUUGGGAUGGGUUGAGUAGGUAAACAUGAUCAGUUUGCUAUAUCAAGCCAAUCACCACUGGAAGAAAAAAUUCAAAACCAAGAUAGGAAAGUGUUUGAGAGGAUUAUUCUGACUUGACUACUCAUUGAUGUAAAUCCUAAUCCUCUAUUGUCUUAAGGCUCAUGGCCAAUGCUGGAAGUUGUUUCUGUGCAUGCAAUUUCCAAUAAAAAAAUUAUAGACGAUUGCCUUUGGAAUAGAUUAGCAAUCAUAUCCUGCUGUGUAGCACUGGGAACUAUGUCAAGUCACUUAUGAUGGAGCCUGAUAAUGGGAGAAAAAAGAAUGUAUACAUGCAUGGGUAACUGGGUCACCAUGCUGUACAGUAGAAAAUUGACAGAACACUGCAGACCAGCUAUAAUGGAAAAAAUAAAAAUCAUUAUAUAAAAAAAUUAUAAACUCUAAUGUGGCUAAGUUCUUCAUUUCUAGUGAAUCUCAAAUUGAGAUCUUUCUAAUAUAAUUAAAAAAUAAUAGAUAUCUUUGUUAUUUUUUUACAGCUAAUGUUAAAUAUUCUUUGACGUCAUCUUGUUGUAUAGUAUUAAAACAUUAUCUCUGAAUUCUUGCCAUGGUGCAGUGGGUUAAAAAUCUGACUGUGUUCCCAUCAUGGUGCAGUGGAAACGAAUCCGACUAGGAACCAUGAGGUUUCGGGUUUGAUCCCUGGCCUCGCUCAGUGGGUUAAGGAUCUGGCGUUGCCGUGAGCUGUGGUGUAGGUUGCUGAUGCGGCUCGGAUCCUGAGUUGCUGUGGCUGUGGCGUAGGACAGCGACUUCAGCUCCAAUUAGACCCCUAUCCUGGGAACCUCCAUAUGCCAUGG